GUUUAAAUGUAUGUGUUUUAAAGUUUUUUUUUUUUUUUUAAUUAUGCCUAAGCACUAGGCAUACCUCUCUCUACCCGCAGAAACGCAUUUUGGAUUACUUAAAUCACGACAAAAGGCUGUGAAAAGGUUCUGCAGUUUGGUGGCACAACAGGAACGUUUCAGAGCUGCUGAAAACAGAAUUGGGAAAUGAGCUCAGAGGGACGUGUGUGUGCAUGAGGGGGUAAGAGUUUCACAGAAAUCAUGUGCCCCCACUCUGGCUGCCCAAACCACUGUACUGUGCUCUGUCUCCAAGCCUGUCCUGCCUGUCCGGGUUUCCUCCUCAGACAGACCCCGGCUGCCGAACUCUCCCCCCAUUGUGGAGCGCUGGUGCCGCUGGAUGCAUUCCUGCAACACGGAGCUGGGAAACGCGUCUGCGUCCCCUCAGACAUCGCCUAUAGUAUUAGAUACGGUUCCCUCUCUGGGUUGCACUCUAUAACUUCAGCCACGUUCUUCUAUCUGCGAGAUUAAUGUUCAAUGCCAUGGAAAGGAUUUUGACAAUUACACCUGGACCUUUCAGCAAAUAUCAUUUUUAUUUGAUGUUAUCAUCAUUUUGCCAUUUGCAGUUCUUUGAGCAACAGCAAGCUAAGAGGCUACAGUACAGUAUUCAGAACCUCAGAUCUGGUUAAAGUAACAGUUAAUGGCUAUUGCAGAUUUACUUUGCUCUUGAGCCAAGAAGCGAUGAAUGCUGAGAGCCAAAUUUGAAAGCUCAUCACAACCACAUGAGAUGGAAAAGCAGUCUCUGCGACAUAUUGAUAGCUGUGGAUGACAGAUGUGAUAUUUAUUGCCAUGGACAGUAAAAUUUAUAUAUAUUAAAAAAAUGCAAACUUUGGAGAACGAUGGGAAGCAUUGACAGGAAAUGCCUUAGAACAAAUUUCUGCAAGAAAAAGUGGCCGGAGGAAGCGGCUUCAGUGAAAAUAUGUUUUAUUUGUUCUGAUUUUGGGGGAAAAUGAUAGAGUACAGGAAAAGUCAAUUUCUGAAAUAUCAUUUCCCUUCACCCAGUAAAAGUCACCUAAACUUUGGUAAACAACAUGAAUGUUCUUCCCGACAUAACUUGUAAUUAGAAAUAUUUAUGUCUAUUCAGAGAAAAGAACUAUUUAACCAAAAACUAUUCCAGUUAAAGCAUACUGGAGUGUCUUAAAAUGUCUGGGUAAAUGUUGCCCUGUUUUCUUGCAUAAACAAAUCUGGAUACUCCAGGUUGGCUCUAUAAAAUACUGUCAGCUGAAUAUUUCGCUUGUAUAUUGUUCUACUCCUCUCAAUUUCACUUUUAGUAUUUAGGAAGACUAGUAGAAUAUUAAGUGUAACACUAGUUUUAUACAGUAGAAGAUUUAAAUCAAUGCAGUUUUUGUUUAAAUUAUAGCUUCUCUUUCAGUUUUUCAAGCCUAACUAUUGCACUCUCAUGAUGAUGUAUGAAUACUGGGAAGCAAAACUGAAUUCUAAUAAGAAAAACAAGGUAGACGGCUUUGAUAGGCCAAAUUGGGUAAACUGCAACACAUAAGAUGCUACAGCAUAGAAAUUUUGAAAAAUAAGAGUGGAAGAGGUAGGAGUUUUCUAUGUCCAGAAACAUAAGUCCAGUGUUGUGUAAUUCUAUUUAAAAGGUAGUAUAUGCUGCUCAUUCCUGUAUUGUAAGCAUCACAAAAACACUGGUGCAUUUAUCUUGUCUUUGCUCUGUUCAUGAGAAAUAAGGAGGUGCCUUUUUUUUUUUUUUCUGUUGGUAUUACAGGCGGGGAAGCUGAGUCAGACAUGUAUUUUAACUGAUUAAACUGGUGCUGAGUAAAAAACUUCAUUUCAAAACAGCUUUUGACAGAAAACUUGGUUUUGAACUGAACCUUUGCCAAAUUAUUUUCUGCACAAGGUUUUCAUCAAGUCAAAUGAGCAAAAAGUUUAGGAAAUUUUAGUUAAGUGAAAAGCUGUGAUUUUCAGCAGAAAUUGAUAGUAAUUUUGAAAAAUUAUGUGGGAAGACAUGAGGCAAUUAUCUGCCUGACUGUAGCAGAGUACCUUGAGGCUGAUUGCUGAGAGC